rnacentral:rRNA from 1 species
AUUGAACGCUGGCGGCAGGCCUAACACAUGCAAGUCGAGCGGAUGAAGGGAGCUUGCUCCUGGAUUCAGCGGCGGACGGGUGAGUAAUGCCUAUGAAUCUGCCUGGUAGUGGGGGAUAACGUCCGGAAACGGGCGCUAAUACCGCAUACGUCCUGAGGGAGAAAGUGGGUGAUCUUCGGACCUCACGCUAUCAGAUGAGCCUAGGUCGGAUUAGCUAGUUGGUGGGGUAAAUGCCUACUAAGGCGACGAUCCGUAACUGGUCUGAGAGGAUGAUCAGUCACACUGGAACGGAGACACGGUCCAGACGCCUACGGGAGGACGCAGUGGGGAAUAUUAGACAAUGGGCGAGAGCAUGAUACAGCCAGGCCGCGUGUGUGAAGAAGGUCUUCGGAUUGUAAAGCACUUUAAGUUGGGGGGAAGGGCAGUAAGUUAAUACCUUGCGGUUUUGACGUUACCAACAGAAUAAGCACCGGCUAACUUCGUG